rnacentral:rRNA from 1 species
CCUACGGGCGGCAGCAGUGGGGAAUAUUGCACAAUGGGGGAAACCCUGAUGCAGCGACGCCGCGUGAGUGAAGAAGUAUUUCGGUACGUAAAGCUCUAUCAGCAGGGAAGAAAAUGACGGUACCUGACUAAGAAGCCCAGGCUAACUACGUGCCAGCAGCCGCGGUAAUACGUAGGGGGCAAGCGUUAUCCGGAUUUACUGGGUGUAAAGGGAGCGUAGACGGCAGCGCAAGUCUGGAGUGAAAUCCCAUGGCUUAACCAUGGAACUGCUUUGGAAACUGUGCAGCUAGAGUGCAGGAGAGGUAAGCGGAAUUCCUAGUGUAGCGGUGAAAUGCGUAGAUAUUAGGAGGAACACCAGGGGCGAAGGCGGCUUACUGGACUGUAACUGACGUUGAGGCUCGAAAGCGUGGGGAGCAAACAGGAUUAGAUACCCCUGUAGUC